UCUGUUUCCACGCCUCCCAUCCUAGCCCAGGCCCAAACGCUUGCAGCCUGGCGGACAGCAACCUCAGACAGCGUACCUUUCCCCUCUGUUCCACCCGACACGGAACUUCUGAUAGCGGAGUUCUGACUACGUCAAUCCACUGCUCUGAAACCUUCCUUGAUUUUCUACUGAAGACAAUCAAGUGGAAACUCGUCAGCCUUCAGACCUUUCCGUAGGGUGUUCCGUAGGGAACAUAAGAAAUUAGAUGCUUCCAGAACUUUUCAGUCUGACCUUCCUUCUCUACCUGCCAGGGCCACACCCAUUCAAAGCUCUCCCAUCUCCAAGAUAAGAAUGCCUGGAAGCAACGACACCCCAAAAGCAACAAGCACUUCUUUAACCCGGCCUCAGGACCUGAUGUGCUUCUCCAAUAAAAGAGACCAGGGCUCCUUGGACAAAUGGCUAAUUUUGGAACUGGGGCAGGAAAAUACACAAGGUGAGAGUUAAGCAUCUUACAGCACCAGAAAAUAAGGAAGCACUGUGUAUUUUAAAAACAUACAAACCAACAAAACAUACAAACAAGUGCAAACAACGAUGGGGGUAUGCCGAAGGAAUACAUGAACCGCCUGAAAGAGCUCCAACUGGUAAAGGCUGGGACAACUGGAACAACAAAAUAAAUAUAAUAAA